ACGGAAGGCAGCAGUGGGGAAUAUUGGGCAAUGGGCGCCAGCCUGACCCAGCAACGCCGCGUGAAGGAUGAAGGUCUUCGGAUUGUAAACUUCUUUGAUCAGGGACGAAUAAAUGACGGUACCUGAAGAACAAGUCACGGCUAACUACGUGCCAGCAGCCGCGGUAAUACGUAGGUGACAAGCGUUAUCCGGAUUUACUGGGUGUAAAGGGCGUGUAGGCGGUUUGGCAAGUCAGAAGUGAAAUUCCCGGGCUUAACUUGGGCGCUGCUUCUGAAACUGCUUUACUUGAGUACUGGAGAGGAUAGUGGAAUUCCUAGUGUAGCGGUAAAAUGCGCAGAUAUUAGGAGGAACACCGGUGGCGAAGGCGGCUAUCUGGACAGUAACUGACGCUGAGGCGCGAAAGCACGGGGAGCAAACAGGAUUAGAUACCCUGGUA
rnacentral:rRNA from 1 species